rnacentral:misc_RNA from 1 species
GUAGGUGAACCUGCGGAAGGAUCACUAGUGAAUACACCGGGAGCGUCUUAACUGACCUCCCAACCCUUCACAAUCCACAUACACCUGUGCACUGUUUUGGCUUUUGAGCAAUCGAAAGCCAAUCAUUUUAUACAAACUCUUAGUUUAAUGAAUGUAAACGUUUUAUAUAAACAAAAUAAAACUUUCAACAACGGAUCUCUUGGUUCUC